AUUGAACGCUGGCGGCAUGCCUUACACAUGCAAGUCGAACGGUAACAGGUCUUCGGAUGCUGACGAGUGGCGAACGGGUGAGUAAUACAUCGGAACGUGCCUAGUAGUGGGGGAUAACUACUCGAAAGAGCGGCUAAUACCGCAUGGGAUCUACGGAUGAAAGCAGGGGAUCGCAAGACCUUGUGCUACUAGAGCGGCCGAUGGCAGAUUAGGUAGUUGGUGGGAUAAAAGCUUACCAAGCCGACGAUCUGUAGCUGGGCUGAGAGGACGAUCAGCCACACUGGGACUGAGACACGGCCCAGACUCCUACGGGAGGCAGCAGUGGGGAAUUUUGGACAAUGGGCGCAAGCCUGAUCCAGCAAUGCCGCGUGCAGGAUGAAGGCCUUCGGGUUGUAAACUGCUUUUGUACGGGACGAAAAGCCCUGGGUUAAUACCCUGGGGUCAUGACGGUACCGUAAGAAUAAGCACCGGCUAACUACGUGCCAGCCGCCGCAGUAACAC
rnacentral:rRNA from 1 species